rnacentral:lncRNA from 1 species
AUAUUCAAUUUCAGCAUAAAAUUUAGUAUGUGUUCAAUUUCAAUAUAUGAAGUAAGUCCUAGUGUUCUAUAUUUUAUGCAUGCAUGAUAUAGAUUAAAAAAUAUUUUAAUUUUCUAUUCUACUAUAUUAUUUUAAAAAAAAUUUGAAAACAUACAUACACACCCCGACAUGAAAUUUCAACAGUGGUAUCAGAGCUACGGAUU